rnacentral:rRNA from 1 species
GUGCUACCAUGCAGUUCGAACGGCAGCACAGAGGAGCUUGCUCCUUGGGUGGCGAGUGGCGGACGGGUGAGGAAUACAUCGGAAUCUACUUUUUCGUGGGGGAUAACGUAGGGAAACUUACGCUAAUACCGCAUACGACCUACGGGUGAAAGCAGGGGAUCUUCGGACCUUGCGCGAUUGAAUGAGCCGAUGUCGGAUUANCUAGUUGGCGGGGUAAAGGCCCACCAAGGCGACNAUCCGUAGCUGGUCUGAGAGGAUGAUCANCCACACUGGAACUGAGACACGGUCCAGACUCCUACGGGAGGCAGCAGUGGGGAAUAUUGGACAAUGGGCGCAAGCCUGAUCCAGCCAUACCGCGUGGGUGAANAAGGCCUUCGGGUUGUAAAGCCCUUUUGUUGGGAAAGAAAUCCANCCGGCUAAUACCUGGUUGGGAUGACGGUACCCAAAGAAUAAGCACCGGCUAACUUCNUGCCANCAGCCGCGGUAAUACNAAGGGUGCAAGCGUUACUCGGAAUUACUGGGCGUAAAGCGUGCGUAGGUGGUCGUUUAAGUCCGUUGUGAAAGCCCUGGGCUCAACCUGGGAACUGCAGUGGAUACUGGGCGACUAGAGUGUGGUAGAGGGUAGCGGAAUUCCUGGUGUAGCANUGAAAUGCGUANAGAUCAGGAGGAACAUCCAUGGCGAAGGCAGCUACCUGGACCAACACUGACACUGAGGCACGAAAGCGUGGGGAGCAAACAGGAUUAGAUACCCUGGUAGUCCACGCCCUAAACGAUGCGAACUGGAUGUUGGGGUGCAAUUUGGCACGCAGUAUCGAAGCUAACGCGUUAAGUUCGCCGCCUGGGGAG